rnacentral:tRNA from 1 species
GUAGUGAAAUUCAUGUUAGGUUGCAACCCUAAAGAUGUGUAUUAGUGUACACCGGGGCUUAAG